AGAGUUUUCUCAGGAUGUUUGAUC
rnacentral:siRNA from 1 species